AGGGGAGUAAGCCUAUUCUCAAGCUAGAACACAGGAGCGUAAGGAACUUCACUAGAUCUGAAGACAGAGACUUAAAUUCCAGAUCUGAAGACAGAGACUUAAAUUCCAGGCAAAAAUGGGAUGAUUUUCAAGUUGACAAAAGUUUUUCAUUCAAAGCCACAACCAGUCCAGUUGCCAGGCCAAGAGGCAGUGGGCCAACCACCCUUCUUAGAGGACUUUCCUCUAACCUCUUCCUGGCCAAGCACAAGUAAACCCAUGUUGAGCAUCUGGUGUUGGUGCACUAUGCAGGCAUCUAUGAGGCAGAGCAAAGACAGGACCUGUGCCCUCAACAGACAUCAUCAGAUACAGAAUACUGUGUAUUAUGGAGAAACAGGAUACGACUAAAUGCACAGGCUUUCGGAAGCACACGGGCCUGGGAUGAAUAUUAGUUUAUUGCUAUCAAUGUUACCCUGAAAUAGCUCACUUCUCUAAGCCUCCUUACGUCUCUCUGAAAUGCAGUAAUAAACCAAUUAACUGCAUGAUUAAUAGAAUUUAAAUGAGAUAAUGGGUAAAACUUUCUCAGUUCAUAGUUGAAUCUGAAGUGUGCUGAAUGUUAGUAUUACC
rnacentral:lncRNA from 1 species